GAUGAACGCUGACGGCGUGCCUAGUACAUGCAAGUCGAGCGAACGGACGAGAAGCUUGCUUCUCUGAUGUUAGCGGCGGACGGGUGAGUAACACGUGGAUAACCUACCUAUAAGACUGGGAUAACUUCGGGAAACCGUAGCUAAUACCGGAUAAUAUUUUGAACCGCAUGGUUCAAAAGUGAAAGACGGUCUUGCUGUCACUUAUAGAUGGAUCCGCGCUGCAUUAGCUAGUUGGUAAGGUAACGGCUUACCAAGGCAACGAUGCAUAGCCGACCUGAGAGGGUGAUCGGCCACACUGGAACUGAGACACGGUCCAGACUCCUACGGGAGGCAGCAGUAGGGAAUCUUCCGCAAUGGGCGAAAGCCUGACGGAGCAACGCCGCGUGAGUGACGAAGGUCUUCGGAUCGUAAAACUCUGUUAUUAGGGAAGAACAUAUGCGUAAGUAACUGUGCACAUCUUGACGGUACCUAAUCAGAAAGCCACGGCUAACUACGUG
rnacentral:rRNA from 1 species